rnacentral:rRNA from 1 species
UACGUAGGGUGCGAGCGUUGUUCGGAAUCACUGGGCGUAAAGCGCACGUAGGCGGAUCUUUAAGUCAGGGGUGAAAUCCCGAGGCUCAACCUCGGAACUGCCUUUGAUACUGGGGAUCUCGAGUCCGGGAGAGGUGAGUGGAACUGCGAGUGUAGAGGUGAAAUUCGUAGAUAUUCGCAAGAACACCAGUGGCGAAGGCGGCUCACUGGCCCGGAACUGACGCUGAGGUGCGAAAGCGUGGGGAGCAAACAGG